UGAGGUUGUCGUGCUUUGGAAAGAUG
rnacentral:piRNA from 1 species